ensembl:lncRNA
GAAAAUCUGUCUGUUGUAUUUUAUGAAGGUAAGAGUUUGUGGUCCCUAAUCCAGGGGAUUCCACUCAAUCUUCACGGAUUCAUCUUUGGAGAUGAUGGCAAUUUAUUGGACUACACAGUUAUCAUUCACUAAGCUUAUAACAAAUACAUCCAAGUCUUUGAAAAUCUUUAGCAGCCAUGACCUGCAUCUAAGUAGGUGGAGGCUGAACUUAGGGAAAAUAUGUCUAGAGAGAGAAGAGAGCCGCCUGAGGACAGAGACAGCAUCUUCCAUUCAGAAAGGUUUAUGGCAAAGAGACCACUCCAUCACCCUUAAGUCUUUACAUGCAAACAUGCAGCCUUGAUGAUAGAAAUGAUAAAUUAGAAAAGAAGAUGGAAUCAUAGUCUACCGUUUCUGAAAUUGUGGUUCUUUCUCAAGUGUGAAAACAUUUUGUAGAGAUGCCAAGUGAUCUGUAAGUAGCAGGCUGUGAUUCAUCCUCUCCCUGGUGUUGUAAGGCUUUGUGUCCCAAAGGCAGCGCCAAGAGUUGACAAAUGACCUUAUAAACAGUGUCCAACAGUUGUGCUGCUAACUCUCUUCCCCAUGAGUGGCUAAUUAUACAGAUAGAUGCGACAACACCUAAAGAAACGACUGUGGUUUAUGAAGAUCUUCUAAACAAUUCAGGUACAGCUUACCUUUUGUCCUCAAAAUAUCACUCACAGUCACCAGGCAGACAAUGAAGAAGAGAAAGAGGUCCCAUUAUAAGUGGACUGUGAGAACACAGACAAACUUAUAUGAACAGGUUCCUAAGACCAGCAGGGGGCGCUGCAGACCCACCAAUCCCUAAGAAGUAAGGGGCAGUACAAGUAGAGCAGGAAGUGGUGCACUGAGAUUUCAGCGACUGUGUGGAUUUCAUUGUCAACAUCACACAUGCAGAGAUCAUUGUGUGGUUGGCACAUGAGAUCUCCAUGCUCUACACAGGAGAGGUUCUUUGUUAACCAGAACCAGUGUGUGAAUGCAACAAAUGCCACAUUGAAUUCCUAUUGCCGCUGUAGAGGUCCAAACCACUUAUAAUCAUAGAUUAAUUAAAUGUGGGCCUCUGGACCCUGAGAAACAUUUUGGGAAAAAGUCUCCCAAUGCUGGCAAGCUGAUUUCAGGGUGUCCAUCGUCCUGCUGAUAUCUCACUGGUAUGGCAAAGACAGCAGUUUCCAAUGCUCUGUGCUAGUGUCUCAUUGGGCCAGGAUGAUCUCAGUGGACUUCUCAUCAUCACAUAUAUGGGUGACCCUAAGGUGGUUCAGGUGCUCCUUGAACCAUUAAAUGUUAUUUCUGCAUUACAAACCUGGAUGUGAUGAACUGACUUUCUGUGGGAUGGAAAAGAUCUGUGUGAACAAUUGCCAGGAUGGAGCACAAAUUUCUUCAGACAGAUUUGAAGCUCAGACCUCCAGACCUCGAUGCCUAUCACAGAAGUCCUCUUCCUCAUCUGUCUCAAACAGGAUCAGCUCUGAUCUAAUAACUACCCUCCCUCAUGAAUAUGUAAAUUGCAGGUUCUGGUUGUGAGUAAAUAAUGUCCCCAUGCCCUACAGCAGCAGGCUAUUACCCCAUUGCCCCCAGUCCCAGAGCACACAGGGUUUCAGCAUGGACAGGAGCUGGAUCGUCCUCUACCUGGUGGCAGCAGCUAUAGGAGUCCAUUCUCAGGGUCAUCUGCAGCAGUCUGCCUCUGAACUGAGAGCUCCUGGAGCUGCAGUACAG